UACGAAGGGUGCAAGCGUUAAUCGGAAUUACUGGGCGUAAAGGGUGCGUAGGCGGUUCGUUAAGUCUGUUGUGAAAUCCCCGGGCUCAACCUGGGAAUGGCAAUGGAUACUGGCGGGCUAGAGUGUGUCGGAGGAUGGUGGAAUUCCCGGUGUAGCGGUGAAAUGCGUAGAGAUCGGGAGGAACAUCAGUGGCGAAGGCGGCCAUCUGGGACAACACUGACGCUGAAGCACGAAAGCGUGGGGAGCAAACAGG
rnacentral:rRNA from 1 species